GGGGGAGCUAAUCCCCAUAAAGCCGGUCGUAGUCCGGAUCGGAGUCUGCAACUCGACUCCGUGAAGUCGGAAUCGCUAGUAAUCGCGAAUCAGCACGUCGCGGUGAAUACGUUCCCGGGCCUUGUACACACCGCCCGUCACACCAUGGGAGCUGGUUGCACCAAAAGCAGGUUGCUUAACUUAAUUGAAGGCGCCUGCCACGGUGUGGUCAGUGACUGGGGUGAAGUCGUAACAAAGGUAGCCGUAGGGGAACCUGCGGCUGGAUCACCUCCUUUCGAGAAGCUAGUGGCGCAUGUCCUGCGUUCAGCGCCCACAACAGAUUUCUUGAUCUAAACAAGCCAAGGCCGCGGAGCCGGGAUCUGAUGGUGAUCCCGAAUGACAGGCCUUAGUAUCCACCGGAUACGGGUCUGUAGCUCAGUUGGUCAGAGCGCACCCCUGAUAAGGGUGAGGGUCGGUGGUUCGAAUCCACCCAGACCCACCAAAUCAUUUGGGGCCAUAGCUCACCUGGGAGAGCGCUUGCUUUGCAAGCAGGAGGUCACCCGGUUCGAUCCCGGUUGGCUCCACCAA
rnacentral:rRNA from 1 species